AUGUGCAAGUGCAUUGUAGAUUGUACCCGGUGCUUUCCUCGUGCUCGUGCAACUCCACCUCGUGUGAAUGCCACCAUGACUAAAAUAUUAGAUGACUUUGAAACGGACAAAAUUUGGAGACUUGUCUAUUUAUUAGAAGACAAAGAAUGGGAUAUCAUACCUGAGUGUUGGAUAUUGGAUGGAAAUGAUAGUGCCAAGUAUCCAACAGCUUUGGGAAAAGAAUUAGAAGACCUUGUGAAAGACGGAAAGGACCUAACGGAGAAAUAUACGAUUGUCAACAUCAAACCGGACGAACAAAAUUAUAAGGAUUAUUCGCUCGCCUAUGAGGAUUUAGUAAGACGCACAAAAAAUAAAAAGACAGUCAAAGAGUCCGAAGAUGAACGAGCUCAACGCAAAAAAAGAAACCGCAUCACGCCGAAGCAUUUGAAAGAAGCUUUAGAGUCUUCUACUGGGAAAAAUUCGGCAGCCUCCUCGAAAAGGGCCCAAAAAGGCCCUCCUUCUUCGCCAUUAG
rnacentral:lncRNA from 1 species